UAGGGAAUCUUCCACAAUGGGCAAAGCCUGAUGGAGCAACGCCGCGUGUGUGAUGAAGGGUUUCGGCUCGUAAAACACUGUUGUAAGAGAAGAAUGACAUUGAGAGUAACUGUUCAAUGUGUGACGGUAUCUUACCAGAAAGGAACGGCUAAAUACGUGCCAC
rnacentral:rRNA from 1 species